rnacentral:rRNA from 1 species
GACGAACGCUGGCGGCGUGCUUAACACAUGCAAGUCGAACGAAAGGACGGGAAGAGCUUGCUCUUUCCGGAAUUGAGUGGCAAACGGGUGAGUAACACGUAAACAACCUGCCUUCAGGAUGGGGACAACAGACGGAAACGACUGCUAAUACCGAAUAAGUUCCAAGAGCCGCAUGGCCCAUGGAAGAAAAGGUGGCCUCUACCUGUAAGCUAUCGCCUGAAGAGGGGUUUGCGUCUGAUUAGCUGGUUGGAGGGGUAACGGGCCCACCAAGGCGACGAUCAGUAGCCGGUCUGAGAGGAUGAACGGCCACACUGGAACUGAGACACGGUCCAGACUCCUACGGGAGGCAGCAGUGGGGAAUCUUCCGCAAUGGCGAAAGCCUGACGGAGCAACGCCGCGUGAGUGAUGACGGCCUCGGUU